rnacentral:tRNA from 3 species
AGGGAAGUAGCCAAGUGGUUAAGGCUCCGGUUUUUGAUACCGGCAUGCGUAGGUUCGAAUCCUGCCUUCCCUG